rnacentral:lncRNA from 1 species
UGCCAUAUAAAAGUACUGCAAUGUUGUGAUUUCUAUUUUCUUUGUUUUUCUUUUUCUUUUCAGGAACAAAGCUCAUGGAUGAAUGAGUAUUGCAAUCCUGAUUGGAGAACAAUGCUAUAUCAAAAAAUUUGCUCGAUAAACCACAUUUCAGGCCUGUUUUUCAAUUGCCCUGCAAAAACAAAGAGAACUGAUAACUUGCUCUUUGCCUCCUUCAUUGUCUUGGCAGUGUGUUCCGCCAUUUCCUGCAUAAUUCAGGUAAUUGUUGCUUUGAAUGAAUUUCUUCAAAACAAGAGAUCUAUUUACAAGCAUGCGCAAUUAAAGAAUUAUAUAUACCAGAAACAGCUUGAAGAGUUCCAGAAAAAUCGGAAACUCAAGUUCCAGAAAGAAUCGCAGCAGUUUAAUGAGGCUCCUCAAAGAAAGAAUUGCGCCUGGUGCAGACAAUUUAAAAGGACAAUGGAAUACGUGCAUAAAUCACGUCCAACCAGAAUUGUUCGACACCACCCACUGCAUUUGAGGGAAUCAACAUUUGAGCCCCGCCAACCAUCAUCACGAGCAUUGUCCAAUGAAUUAAAGAAAGGAAGGGGACCUCAGAAAUGGUUUGACACUAAGUAUAAGCAAGUGUCCCCUGCAUCAUCAAGUGGAUCAUCACAUUGCUCCUGGAAAGGCAGUUAUGUGUCAUCAAUGAAGGAAGAGCCGAAGGAGAAAUCUAAAGUUCUGCCAAAUAAAUUUCAAGACGAAUCAAAGAAAGAAAAAGCUCUCGCACCAGGAAAGACACCUCACAAAAAGUAAAACAUUGAGUGUGGUGGUCGUAUGGCAGCUUAGCUGCCGGGGUAGCUAUCAUUUCUUGAAGCGCGACUGUGUCGCUGAUGCAGUGCCCCUCCCCCCCCCCCCCCCCCCCCCCCCCCCCCCCCCCCCCCCCCCCCCCCCCCCCCCCCCCCCCCCCCCCCCCCCCUGGUGUAUUAAUUCAGCAGCCGACGGGGCUUGAACUCAGGACCCGAGGAUCCCAAGCCACCACCCUAACCACUGAGCCAACACCAGGCUAAACAUUGAGUGGAAGCGAGUGUCACCUGCUUCAUCAAUUGGAUCGGCACAUUACCCUUCACAAGGCAAAGGUUACCUGUCGUCAGUGAAGAAAGAGCCAAAGAAGGAGAAAUCUAAAGCUCAGCUGAACAAUUUUAAAAAAGAUCUGGGGCACCAGAGACAAGUGCAGCUUCCUUGUGAAGCUCAACCAAAAAUGAUUCAGAAUUUGUCUGGCAAAUCAUGUGGGAUGAGAUUUGGAACUUUUCCAAAUUGGCAUGUGCCAGGUCAGGUAUGGGAGCAUGUGCCAGAACAGCACGUCGCUGCGUCCACUUUCCACCGGUACUCCAGGGACCUCCAUCUGGCCAGAUGCCAGGCCCAUCCCCAUCUCCUUGAGAUGCCGGUCAACCUGCCCCCCCCCC